rnacentral:tRNA from 1 species
AGGGGUAUAGCUCAGCUGGUAGAGCAGCGGUCUCCAAAACCGCGUGUCCCGAGUUC